GCCAGCAUGGCGCAGUGGUUUGAGUGUUGGACUGGACCUCUGGAGACCAGGGUUCGAAUCACUGCUUGGCC